AGAAAAUACACCCUGUCAAAAGGAGUUUGGAACACUGGAAAAGAAACAUUUACAAGAUCACAAAGAUCAUAAAGAAACAUUUAUAAGAAUCACACAUACAAACAGAAAAUGCACUAACCUUACAGAGACAAGCUCAUGAAGAUUAAUGAACAGAUAAUGACUUAAAACCUGGCUAAGAACACAAACAUACGUAAUUAAAUCAGCCUGCUAAUUUCAUGAGGGUUAAAAUGGUGUGAAUGGUUAAUACAAUUGAUGGAAAGAUUUAAAAUAGAUGGAAAAACAAAAGAAAAGUGUCUAUAAGAGUGACUCAGGAGUGCUCUUGCACUGAUUUAUCAAAGUAAGUGAUUAGUAUAGAAAGAAAAUGAAAAUAAUUCAAUGAUGUGAUAAGGUUUAAACAUGUAUUCCUCUUGUUAAGUUGGCUGUUGAGCUGUGGGUUUAUGCAAAUUAGCUGGAGCAGAGACACUUCCUGUGUGUGUGUGUGUCGGAGGCUUUCGGUUCAGUUCAAGAGAGAGCAGUGGCUGUUGAAGAGUAUUGGGAGAAAUAUAUAAUGGUAAAGUAUCAGGAUAUUUGAUUACGGUGGUCAGGUCUGUUCAGAGGGGCAGAUUUGGACAGGAAAUUUAUAAUUUAAGGAUGAUAUGUGGUUGAAAUUGGUUUUUAUCUUGUGCUGAAUGAAAACGGUCUUUGAUCUUUUGACGAGGUUUUCGGUGUGUUGAACGGGUGAAAUUUAAGAUUGUUGAAGAUUUUUGAGGUUGUUGUUUUAUUUUUAAUAGAGGGAGUUUUGAUAAACAUGGACAUGUCUAAAAGGGCCCAUAGUUUUUAUAACAGUGCACUUAGAAAAACCUGUCAGGUGAUUUUGUUUUGUACUUUGAGGAGCUAAUAAUCAGCUCUCUUUUUUCAUUUUUGUUCUAAGCAGGCCUGGAAGAGAGUGAACGGACGGCGCUGACAAAAUUACCAAGUACGAAAAUCAGUCUUCAGUGGGGGAGAAGCUGAUUGCAGGCUGACAGGAAACGGUGUGCUUUUGCAGAAGCGAAACCGAAACCAGAGCGAGUGCAAGCCAUAAUAAAGAGGAGAUAAGCGACAGCGAAGGCGGGCUAACAGGAAGCAUCAGCCGUCGACACGAAGAUGAUGUUCUAUGUUAAAAGUCAUUGUGGUUUUGGUGUGACGUAAAUCUGCCUAGUAACAGAAAAGGGGGCUGUACAAUUCUUAACCCCAUAAAACAGUUGUCUGAAUAUGAGAAAGACAGUUCAACACUGAUUGGGUUGUUGAACUCACACAUGUGUUCAUUAAAAUGCCGUC
ensembl:lncRNA